GAUGAACGCUAGCGGCAGGCCUAACACAUGCAAGUCGAACGGCAGCACAGGAGAGCUUGCUCUCUGGGUGGCGAGUGGCGGACGGGUGAGGAAUACAUCGGAAUCUACCUUUUCGUGGGGGAUAACGUAGGGAAACUUACGCUAAUACCGCAUACGACCUACGGGUGAAAGUGGGGGACCGCAAGGCCUCACGCGAUUAGAUGAGCCGAUGUCCGAUUAGCUAGUUGGCGGGGUAAUGGCCCACCAAGGCGACGAUCGGUAGCUGGUCUGAGAGGAUGAUCAGCCACAAUGGAACUGAGACACGGUCCAGACUCCUACGGGAGGCAGCAGUGGGGAAUAUUGGACAAUGGGCGCAAGCCUGAUUCAGCCAUACCGCGUGGGUGAAGAAGGCCUUCGGGUUGUAAAGCCCUUUUGUUGGGAAAGAAAUCCUAUCGGUUAAUAACCGGUGGGGAUGACGGUACCCAAAGAAUAAGCACCGGCUAACUUCGUGCCAGCAGCCGCAGUAACAC
rnacentral:rRNA from 1 species